rnacentral:rRNA from 1 species
GACGAACGCUGGCGGCGUGCCUAAUACAUGCAAGUAGAACGCACAGUUUAUACCGUAUCUUGCUACACCAUAGACUGUGAGUUGCGAACGUGUGAGUAACGCGUAGGUAACCUGCCUGGUAGCGGGUGAUAACUAUUGGAAACGAUAGCUAAUACCGCAUAAUAUUAAUUAUUGCAUGAUAAUUAAUUGAAAGGUGCAAUUGCACCACUACCAGAUGGACCUGCGUUGUAUUAGCUAGUAGGUGAGGUAACGGCUCACCUAGGCGACGAUACAUAGCCGACCUGAGAGGGUGAUCGGCCACACUGGGACUGAGACACGGCCCAGACUCCUACGGGAGGCAGCAGUAGGGAAUCUUCGGCAAUGGACGAAAGGCUGACCGAGCAACGCCGCGUGAGAGAAGAAGGUUUUCGGAUCGUAAAGCUCUGUUGUAAGAGAAGAACGGGUGUGAGGGUGGAAAGUUCACACUGUGACGGUAUCUUAACAGAAAGGGACGGCUAACUACGUG